GACGAACGCUGGCGGCGUGCUUAACACAUGCAAGUCGAACGGAAAGGCCCUGCUUUUGUGGGGUGCUCGAGUGGCGAACGGGUGAGUAACACGUGAGUAACCUGCCCUUGACUUUGGGAUAACUUCAGGAAACUGGGGCUAAUAUCGGAUAGGAGCUCCUGCUGCAUGGUGGGGGUUGGAAAGUUUCGGCGGUUGGGGAUGGACUCGCGGCUUAUCAGCUUGUUGGUGGGGUAGUGGCUUACCAAGGCUUUGACGGGUAGCCGGCCUGAGAGGGUGACCGGCCACAUUGGGACUGAGAUACGGACCAGACUCCUACGGGAGGCAGCAGUGGGGAAUAUUGCACAAUGGGCGGAAGCCUGAUGCAGCAACGCCGCGUGCGGGAUGACGGCCUUCGGGUUGUAAACCGCUUUCGCCUGUGACGAAGCGUGAGUGACGGUAAUGAGUAAAGAAGCACCGGCUAACUACGUG
rnacentral:rRNA from 1 species